rnacentral:rRNA from 1 species
CCUAUAAGCGCCAGGGAAUUACGAGCUAUGCUUAAAACCCAAAGGAUUUGACGGUGUCCCACCCCCCUAGAGGAGCCUGUUCUAUAAUCGAUGAUCCCCGCUACACCCGACCACUUCUUGCUUAUCAGUCUGUAUACCUCCGUCGAAAGCUUACCAUGUGAACGCCACCCACAGUAGGUUCAAUGACCCCCGUCAAUACGUCAGGUCAAGGUGCAGCUUAAGAAGUGGGAAGUGAUGGGCUACAAUUUCUAAUCUAGAACAAACGAAAGACUAUGUGAAACCCUAGUCACGAAGGCGGAUUUAGCAGUAAAAAGAAAAUAGAGUGUUCUUUUUAAUCUGGCUCUGGGACGCGUACACACCGCCCGUCACCCUC